GAUGAACGCUGGCGGCGUGCCUAAUACAUGCAAGUCGAGCGAACGGACGAGAAGCUUGCUUCUCUGAUGUUAGCGGCGGACGGGUGAGUAACACGUGGAUAACCUACCUAUAAGACUGGGAUAACUUCGGGAAACCGGAGCUAAUACCGGAUAAUAUUUUGAACCGCAUGGUUCAAAAGUGAAAGACGGUCUUGCUGUCACUUAUAGAUGGAUCCGCGCUGCAUUAGCUAGUUGGUAAGGUAACGGCUUACCAAGGCAACGAUGCAUAGCCGACCUGAGAGGGUGAUCGGCCACACUGGAACUGAGACUCGGUCCAGACUCCUACGGGAGGCAGCAGUAGGGAUGCUUCCGCAUUGGGCGAAAGCCUGACGGAGCAACGCCGCGUGAGUGAUGAAGGUCUUCGGAUCGUAAAACUCUGUUAUUAGGGAAGAACAUAUGUGUAAGUAACUGUGCACAUCUUGACGGUACCUAAUCAGAAAGCCACGGCUAACUACGUG
rnacentral:rRNA from 1 species